AUGGUUGAUAUUCACACUGAACCUGUUUUGAUGUAACAUUUCUUUACUUUCAGCAUUUUAAGCUUCAAACAUGUGCUACGUGACUGGAUAGACUUCUCGAGAACUGUGUUAACAUGUUUCCAAGAGCUGAAUUCUAAGAAUGGCUUAUCGUUGACAAUUUUGGGAAAUAAAUUGGGGAUGCUUACGUCAGUUCUGCCUCUCUUCCUCCUAAGAGUGGACACCUGUUGGGGAGCAGCCAUUCACCUGUGUUUGCCCAUGAUCCUCCUAGCUCUCAGGAGAAAUGGUCUGUUCUGAUUCAACAUUGCCAAGUGGAUAAGGUAAGCAUGUCGAAUACCAUGAUUCAGAGAGCAGGUAUAUU
rnacentral:lncRNA from 1 species